rnacentral:rRNA from 1 species
UGGCGUGGGGCGGCUACCAUGCGGUCGAGCGGGGAUAGGGUGCUUGCACCUGAUUCCUAGCGGCGGACGGGUGAGUAAUGCUUAGGAAUCUGCCUAUUAGUGGGGGACAACGUUCCGAAAGGGACGCUAAUACCGCAUACGUCCUACGGGAGAAAGCAGGGGAUCUUCGGACCUUGCGCUAAUAGAUGAGCCUAAGUCGGAUUAGCUAGUUGGUGGGGUAAAGGCCUACCAAGGCGACGAUCUGUAGCGGGUCUGAGAGGAUGAUCCGCCACACUGGGACUGAGACACGGCCCAGACUCCUACGGGAGGCAGCAGUGGGGAAUAUUGGACAAUGGGGGGAACCCUGAUCCAGCCAUGCCGCGUGUGUGAAGAAGGCCUUUUGGUUGUAAAGCACUUUAAGCGAGGAGGAGGCUUACCUGGUUAAUACCUGGGAUAAGUGGACGUUACUCGCAGAAUAAGCACCGGCUAACUCUGUGCCAGCAGCCGCGGUAAUACAGAGGGUGCAAGCGUUAAUCGGAUUUACUGGGCGUAAAGCGCGCGUAGGUGGCUAAUUAAGUCAAAUGUGAAAUCCCCGAGCUUAACUUGGGAAUUGCAUUCGAUACUGGUUAGCUAGAGUAUGGGAGAGGAUGGUAGAAUUCCAGGUGUAGCGGUGAAAUGCGUAGAGAUCUGGAGGAAUACCGAUGGCGAAGGCAGCCAUCUGGCCUAAUACUGACACUGAGGUGCGAAAGCAUGGGGAGCAAACAGGAUUAGAUACCCUGGUAGUCCAUGCCGUAAACGAUGUCUACUAGCCGUUGGGGCCCUUGAGGCUUUAGUGGCGCAGCUAACGCGAUAAGUAGACCGCCUGGGGAGUACGGUCGCAAGACUAAAACUCAAAUGAAUUGACGGGGGCCCGCACAGCGGUGGAGCAUGUGGUUUAAUUCGAUGCAACGCGAAGAACCUUACCUGGCCUUGACAUACAGAGAACUUUCCAGAGAGAUGGAUUGGUGCCUUCGGGAACCCC